GUGGGGAAUCUUGCGCAAUGGGCGAAAGCCUGACGCAGCCAUGCCGCGUGAAUGAUGAAGGUCUUAGGAUUGUAAAAUUCUUUCACCGGGGACGAUAAUGACGGUACCCGGAGAAGAAGCCCCGGCUAACUUCGUGCCAGCAGCCGCGGUAAUACGAAGGGGGCUAGCGUUGCUCGGAAUUACUGGGCGUAAAGGGCGCGUAGGCGGACAGUUUAGUCAGAGGUGAAAGCCCAGGGCUCAACCUUGGAAUUGCCUUUGAUACUGGCUGUCUUGAGUACGGGAGAGGUGGGUGGAACGCCGAGUGUAGAGGUGAAAUUCGUAGAUAUUCGGAAGAACACCAGUGGCGAAGGCGACUCACUGGCCCGUUACUGACGCUGAGGCGCGAAAGCGUGGGGAGCAAACAGGAUUAGAAACCCGAGUAGUCC
rnacentral:rRNA from 1 species